CAACUAAAAUAAGAAUAAAAUGAAGAUUUGUUUGUUUAGAUUUGAAAUGGAUGAUGAAAAUAAAGGUGACACCAUGGCUAAAACAAAAACGCUUACUGUUUUGCAAUAUUUUAAAUUAACAAAGAAAUAUACUAUUAAGUAUCCAAAUUUACCUUGUUUACAUGUUGGUAAUGUUAAUAAAAAAACUGCAAUUCCAAUUGAAGUAAAUAUUACUCCCAUUAUUGAUUAAUUUUUUUGAUUAUUAUCAUGAUUACAUCAAUUUUUUUUUUAAUUUGUGUACUAUAUUUGUGUUUUGUACAGUUAAACUGUUGAGUAACUGUUAAAUGAUUAUUACCAUAGUUAUUACUGGUCAAUUUUUCUUCUAGCAAAGGUUUAAUGGAUCAUGUAACUGUCCAUUUCAAACUGGUAAAAAGAACAAUGUUAUA
rnacentral:lncRNA from 1 species